rnacentral:rRNA from 1 species
UACGUAGGGGGCAAGCGUUGUCCGGAUUUAUUGGGCGUAAAGAGCGUGUAGGCGGCCUGACAGGUCUGCUGUGAAAACUCGAGGCUCAACCUCGAGCUGUCGGCGGAAACCAUUUGGCUAGAGUCCGGAAGAGGAGAAUGGAAUUCCCGGUGUAGCGGUGAAAUGCGCAGAUAUCGGGAAGAACACCCGUGGCGAAGGCGGUUCUCUGGGACGGUACUGACGCUGAGACACGAAAGCCAGGGGAGCAAACGGG